GCAGGAUUUGAGGAGCGGGGGCAGACGGCGUUUGGAGAGCUUUUUCCAGAAACUAUCCGGAACCCAGCGCAGUUUCUGAGAGCGCCCCAAGGGAUUUCUCAAAGAAGGCACCCCAGCAAUUGCUUUUCUUGACGACUUGCUUUUCCUCUGGCGGCACGGAGACCCACAUACCGCUCUAAAGGCGACCACACACCCCAGCACCCAGGCUCGUUGUCGCCCUCCCGCCUGUCCUCCCGCGGAAGGGAGGGGCCCCACCCCCAGCGUUGUGGGGCACGGGUCCUAAAAGGGCGCCUACGUGUACCGCUCCUGGACACCCUCCCCCCCCCCAGGACGCUUUCUGUAGAGUGGGGUGAAAGUCUGAGAAGAAUCGCUCUGCCACUGGCAAGAACACAAUUUUCCCGUAGCCUUCAUCUGCGCCCUCCUUUUCAUAAUGUCUUGAUUUCCCCUGUGCACCCCCGAGCCGGCUGCAGCACUGGCUCUUGGAGCUUGAAGUGCCCUUUAAGGCUCCUCAGAGCGAACUGCUCUGCCUUCUGGUCGAAGCGCAGGGAGUGGGUUCCACUUGGCAGGGAUUAUUUUAAACUGCUACCUGCAAUUCACGCGACAUCCGACACCGGUAGCCCAGCCCGCGCGGUGCCCGCCAGAGGCGAAACAGGAUUGUCCCGUGCCCACUAGAGGUCACCAUAAAGAGUCAUUUUGCCCUGAUUCUAGUGUGGAUUCAGCUAAAAAGCAAGACACCUACAAAUUCAAGUGCCUAUAUCCCUCCUCACAAAGUAAAAUCCCUCUGGGUGGUUUCUUAAAGAAUGGAAAUCUCUAUAUGUUGUUUAUCCCUUGACUUGGAUAAUUUAUCUUAAAAGCACUUAAUGUGAUUAAAGGCUCAAAAACAAGAGUUGUUUGUUUGCAAAGUAGCUACUAAACCA
rnacentral:lncRNA from 1 species